rnacentral:rRNA from 1 species
AGUGAACGCUGGCGGCGUGCCUAAUACAUGCAAGUCGAACGGAGUGGCGCACGGGUGAGUAAUGUAUAGCUAAUCUGCCCUACACUAGAGGACAACAGUUGGAAACGACUGCUAAUACUCUAUAGUGUAGGAUGAGGCUAUAUUGUAUCAGCUAGUUGGUGAGGUAAUGGCUCACCAAGGCUAUGACGCAUAACUGGUCUGAGAGGAUGAUCAGUCACACUGGAACUGAGACACGGUCCAGACUCCUACGGGAGGCAGCAGUAGGGAAUAUUGCUCAAUGGGGGAAACCCUGAAGCAGCAACGCCGCGUGGAGGAUGACACUUUUCGGAGCGUAAACUCCUUUUGUUAGGGAAGCGGUACCUAACGAAUAAGCACCGGCUAACUCCGUGCCAGCAGCCGCGGUAAUAC